UACGUAGGCGGAAGAUUAAGUCAGUGGUGAAAUCCUGCAGCUUAACUGUAGAACUGUCAUUGAUACUGAUUUUCUUGAAUAUAGUUGAGGUAGGCGGAAUGUGUAAUGUAGCGGUGAAAUGCUUAGAUAUUACACAGAACACCGAUUGCGAAGGCAGCUUACUAAGCUAUGAUUGACGCUGAGGUACGAAAGCGUGGGGAGCGAACAGGAUUAGAUACCCUGGUAGUCC
rnacentral:rRNA from 1 species